CCUGCUGAUGAGUUCGAGUGGCGCCAACACUGCAUCGAGAAUACCAAUAUCUGAAGAGAUCCCCUUAAGAGUGAAUUGGAAACUGAUGCAACAACUUCUAAACCAGUUUUGGAAGCGGUGGAUUCAAGGCUAUCUCCCUACCAUAGCACGUCGGACCAAGUGGUUCAACGAUGUCCGCCCGCUCCAAGUUGACGAUCCGGUAAUCAUCGUAGACGAGACGGUUCGUAACGGAUGGCUUCGAGGUCGUAUUGUGAAGGUCUACACAGCGAGUGAUGGUCAGGUCAGGAAGGUUGAUGUCCAGACAGCAUCAGGAGUAUACCAGAGACCAGCGAGCAAAGUAGCUUUGUUGGACGUUCUGCAGAGUGGUAAGGCCGUUCAAAGGUAAGGCAUUACGGGUCGGGGUGUUGCGGAAUACGAACGAUAGGCCCUUUGGAUCUACUCUACAUAGAGGCCACGUGACGUAGCGUUGAACGUCAACCGUGACUUAUCGAUGACAGCUCUUCAACCACGACAGCAAAAAGCAAAUGGAAACAUACCCAGAAGAACGUGAAGUUGAUGGAAAACUUAAUAUUUCGAUUAUUGCUAUUAUUUCUAUUAUAAAUUAGUUCAUUUAACUAACUACAGUAAAAUAACGUGAAUUAUUCAUAGUUUGAGGUCGGUAUAAGUAAAACUAUAGUUAGUCUUUGGUGCGAAGUUAUCGUAUAAUCUAAAUACCGAUCUGAUUUAUAUUAAUAAGUAAGUACGGACAACUGAAUUAGUUAGAUCUGAGUUUAAUUAAGAUUUUGUUUUGCGUAUUAGCUCACCUAACCUCAGAAUCUGCCACUGGAACCGUAAUUGGAGUUUUUGGAUAUUAAGGAAACUAAUUUGUGAGUAAUUAUUGAAUUUAUUGGAUCGAUGUAUGUUAAAUAAA